GAGGGUAGGCCCCUCGAUUCCGGCAACCAGAUGCAGGAAUCAAACCGCCCUAUGCGGCAUGUAUUAAGAGUGCAUGUCGUGAGCGAUAGGGAAAAGGCAGUAUGAUUAACUGUCAGGU
rfam:Halomonas sp. &apos;Soap Lake #7&apos;, complete genome.